AUUCGGAGGGGGUUAGCGUUGUUCGGAAUUACUGGGCGUAAAGCGCACGUAGGCGGACUGGAAAGUUGGGGGUGAAAUCCCGGGGCUCAACCCCGGAACUGCCUCCAAAACUUCCAAUCUAGAGAUCGAGAGAGGUGAGUGGAAUUCCAAGUGUAGAGGUGAAAUUCGUAGAUAUUUGGAGGAACACCAGUGGCGAAGGCGGCUCACUGGCUCGAUACUGACGCUGAGGUGCGAAAGCGUGGGGAGCGAACAGGAUUAGAUACCCUAGUAGUCC
rnacentral:rRNA from 1 species